AUCUCUGAGUUAGAGUAACCGUCACUUCUGUCUUGAGUAGUUAAAAGAUAGAACAGUCUAGCCAAGUGCCAUGUCUCUUAUUCUUGAUCAGCUAUAGCCUUGGAGUUUUUGCAGAUUUUUAAAUAAAACUCAGAGAUUCCUUGUAUGACUCUCUAAAUCUCUCUUUCGUGGUAUUUCUGGAUCCUUACCAAGGCAGUGAUGGAUAUGCCUUCUCUCAAGUUAUGUGGUAUUUGUGGUAUAAGGCAUAGUGACAUUACCUUCUCUCUCACCCUACUCUAAUAAGGCUUUAAUAUCUGGAGCUCAUAGGUGGGAGACAGCUAAUACAUACUUACAAGACAUUUAUUGCAUAGUCAAACUAUGGAUCCAGAGAAACAAGUCAAUAAGUCAAAUCAAGAUGUGCAUGUGUGGCGAAUGAAUGGUGAUAACAAUGGUGGAAGUCUAAUUCUACUUUUGCUCUUUUGAGGGGAUACAUACCUUCCUUGCUUUUUGAAACUUUAUGAGGAGAAUGGGAUGCUCUAUCUUUCAUUUUUCUUUCCUCUCAGGUGGGUAUCAUGUACCCCUAAUUCUACUGUCAGACACUUGUCCAUUUUUACCUCUCGUCUCACUCUUUUUCUUUUCUUUCGAGGUUUCGGGCACUUGCCCCUUUUUAUUUCCUCGUAUAUUUUUUUUCUCUCCCUUUUUUUUAGAGCACUCAUCUCAUGAGAUAAUAUAGCAAGUGGUAGUAACAAGAUAACUUGAGCAUUUAUUUCAUAAGAAAAAAUAGAAAUAUUUUUGGCUAUUCUCUCCCGGAUUAGGAGUAGAAUAUUUUUGGGUGGUUCUGGAGAUGGAAAUGAGUGGAUAUAUGUGGAUGGUACUUCCGGAGUAGAAGUAGCAUAUAUGAGUGAAUAUGCAAGUGAAAUCUUGAUUUAACCACAUGACAAGCUCCUAAGGGUCUACACAGCUUGACCACACUCAAUGCUCAUAAGCAGUAAAUAGUAAAUGUGUGGCUCAAAGUCUAGCAAGCAUGUAUAUAUGGCUGUGGUAGGAAUUUAAACUUUCAUCAUACAGGAACUCAUCAUGCAAUCUUUUAAAGAUUUUUCAAAGAUAAAAUUCUCCAGAAUUCUAGCAUCUCUAGGAACAAAUAAACAACAGCUCAACCUUCCCAUAUCAUAUCCGUUAACAACUUAGAUUUUAGAUCAAGUUUUCAUCCCACAAGUUUAGAUCUAGAGUAAGCUUUAAAUUAUAACAGUUAUGUCUAAACUUGAGAGAGAACUUUAAAUUUGCAAAUUAGGCAGAGCAACUAUUCAUCAUAUCCAUGCUAGAGCUUUAUUCAGGUGCGGACCUUGACGAGUUUUGGUGUUUGUCUAUUUACAACACCCUAAGUGUGGGGGUGUUUGUUGACGGUUCUUAAGUAUCAAUUUUAAUCAUGAAAUAAAUAAGGAAAAGGACCGAUAUACAAACAACACCUAGAAUUAGGGUUUGAUCUAACAGAAUUCCACGAGUUUUGCUGUUUAUCUAUUUCUGCAGGGGGUUAUCAGGAAAUAUGGAAGAAAGGCCCACACGUUGGGUUUACAUAGAGAUAUUAAGUUGUGCGCCAAUUUCCCUCGGUCUAGAAGGUUCCAGAAGCCACACGAACGAGCGGGAGGCCAAGCGGGCCCACAGGCAGGGCGCCCGCCCACCUAUGGUGGCCAAUGAGGGUGCAUCAUGCGGAUUAUGCUCCACCGCCUUUGAGGAUCAAGGAGAACCAUUCAAUCAAGGUUGGUUUGAUCCGACGGCCCAAAUUCAUUUGAGAGGGAUAUAUAAGCAAGGCCCCUGGCCCCUGGAGAAAUAGAAUCCCCAUUAUUCAUUAGCAUAUUUUCCAGAGAGGAUUCAGAGAGAGAGGUUCCUUAGGGUUCCCACCUCAUAGGGCUUAGCAUCCAAUGUGAGAGUAGCAUUAGUUCUACUAGAUUGAGAGAGAUAGAGUGGAGGUGUAGAUCGGAGGAAGCCCGGCUUGUCGGUGUCUACUCCGAGGUUGUACCUGCGGGAUCAAGUCUCUUAACCCGAGGCUUGCUCCUAGGAUUCUUCAGUAUUUCAACUUCUAAAUUCUAGUAAGUACUUUGUUUUAUUGUUGUUUGGUUUAUGAGUUUACUUUGAUCUCUUCGCGUAGAGUUUAGAGUAAUCAUCUCUAGCGUAAACAUGGUGUUUGGGCUAGGAUACUCAUAGAUAUCCCCUAUCUAUCUGGACCGUGGUAGUAGUGAGGAAUGUGACAUUUCCGAGUUACCUUUGUAGCCCAUAAUCCUGUUAGUAGGAUCGAUAGGGUUUAUAGGUGCGGGUCGAACAUCCUCUAUGGUGUCUAGAUUCCGUGAGCCUCCCCAAGAGAACAGUAGAUCAUCCAUACCAAGGUUAGAACGAGGGUGAAGUUGAAGUCUUCUCUAUACAUCACUCACAUCGAUUCAUAGUGGUUGUAGCCUAAAGGUUAGUAGUAAUAGAUUUGGUUAGUCAGAUGCACGCUUUCUCCUAGUGGUAAAAAUAUAAAUACGAUACUCCGGAUAACAUCUCGGGUGAAGUGCUCACCGAUAUCCGUGCGCUUGCGGAUUAAUUCCUGAUUGUGUUACCAAAUAUCAACAGAGACGUAGUCAACUGCCACCAAGAUGAACUCACACUUCUUUGAUGGGAGAAAUGGACCCAUGUAGUCUAUUCCCCAAACAUCAAAGAGCUCAAUCUGAAGGUUGUUGGUGAGUGGCAUGGCAUCUCUUGUGUUUAUGUUUCUGUGCCUUUGACAUGGCCCACAUCUUCUGAUAUAUUGCUUCGUGUCUUCAUACAUUGUAGGUCAGUAGAAUCCACACUGCCAGAUCUUUGAAUGUGUAUGGAAUACUCCAUAAUGACCUCCAUAUGGUGAUGAAUUACAUCUAUCGAUGAUCUUCCAUCCUUCCUCGAUGGUCACACAUCUCUUGAGUAAGCCAUCAUAGCAUACUCGGAAGAGGUAUAGCUCAUCCCAUAUAUGUGAACGGCUUUCUUGAAUAAGCUUCUUCUUGUUCACUCCUGGUGGUACAUACCCUGAAACCAUAAAAUUAACAAUAUCUGCAUACCAGGGGUCAGACCUGUUAAUCCUGUAGAGCAUGUCGUCUCGGAGUGAAUCAUUGAUGGAGGUUUCCUGUGGAUUCUUAAAAUGUAUUCUAGACAAGUGAUUAGCAACAGAAUUUUCUACUCCCUUUUUAUCUUUUAUUUCCAAGUCAAAUUCUUGAAGUAAUAAGAUCCAUCUAAUCAGGCAAGGUUUAGCAUCUUUUUUAGUGAGCAGAUAUUUUAGUGCAGCAUGAUCAGUGUAAACAAUUAUUUUAGCUCCAACUAAAUAAGAUCUAAAUUUAUCAAUGGCAAAGACAAUGGUCAGAAGUUCUUUUUCAGUGGUUGCAUAAUUAAGUUGAGCUCCUGUCAAAGUUUUACUGGCAUAAGCAAUUGCAUGAUGCUUCUUAUUUUUAGUUUGUCGCAAAACUGCCCCCACUGCAUAAUCACUAGCAUCACACAUAAUUUCAAAAGGCAACGACCAAUCAGGGGGUUGAAUGAUUGGUGCAGAGAUGAGUGCAUUCUUGUGGCUUCCGGAACCUUCUAGACCGAGGAAAAUUGGCGCACAAGUUAAUAUCUCUAUGUAAACCCGACGUGUGGGCCUUUCUUCCAUAUUUCCUGAUAACCCCUUGCAGAAAUAGAUAACCAGCAAAACUCGUGGAAUUCUGUCAGAUCAAACCCUAAUUCUAGGUGUUGUUUGUAUAUUGUGGCAGAACCUCCUAAGUGUUUGGGCCCACCGACAUCUGCCAUUGUCCUAAGGACCUCUGACGGUGAUGCCGGGAGUCCUCCCACUUUAGAAGUCCGAUGAGCAUUACUGGGUGCUCAUUCCACUGCUACCUGUGGCGUACCAAGCUGGCUCGUCCUGACCACUGAUAAUGGUCAAGCAACGAGAACUGUUUCUUCUCGCCCUUACAGGAUAGCAAGUGGCCACCUUAACACCAGGAUCACUCGUUGCGAAGAUAAAGCAGUAACUCAACGACACAAGACCAAAAUAAUAUUUCAGAGUGAAACAGCGGAAGUAUUACAUAACUUAAUUUAUAAAAGGAGUUCUUCCAAAUAGUAGAGUGUUAUUACAAGCCUGGUCCAGCGGAGCAACUGAAACUUUAGUACAGACAAAACAAAUUUACAGACCCUGCCCAUGGGUCACGCUCACUCUUCUUCGUCGUCAACCUCAACGACGGUCACACAACAGGGUCCGAAACAAGUCGGCUCCUGAGCUUCACCUGCAACAGGGGUAUUGAACCCUGAGUACGGGAGUACUCAACAAGACUUAUCCGACGGGAAAAGAGGAGAAUUUAGGGAUGCAGGCUUAGGGUAGACAAGGGGUGGCUGAGCAAGGAGCCAAAGUGUUUUGCGGAAGAGCUUACUAGUAGUGCAUCCUUAUUUUCAAGUUUUACCCCGAAUUCCUCCCUCGCAGAGGCCGAGGAGUUCGAGGAUAGUCUAACUGGUUGUUCCCCACAGACGAAUCCGUGAGUUCCUAGUCCUAUCAUUAAGUAUUAUUUAUCGAUGGCCAUAGCUUCAUGUCGCUAUGAGUCCGGGAAUUGGGAUCCGAACCUCAUGAGACAUUUUCCCCUUUCUCAUUAUAUCACUUAGUUGCAUAUUUAACUACGAUGAGGGUCGAAGGAAUUGAGUCUCCCAAUCGGGGAGCAACGACGAUUCGAAUCGCUUAGCAAUCCAGCUGGAGUUCCUAACCACCCGACAUAUGUAGAACUAAAUCUUGCAUAUGUCAACCCAAAUCAAGCUCUCCCCAAAUUUGACCAGGUUCGCGGCACCCGAGAGCACAGUACUCCACCAUCCUACAGCCGAUCUAGAUGUUUUCCGGUCAUCUCAGAUCCGUAAGGUGGGUACACACUACUCUCGCCAUCUUUCCACUCCCAGUGCGCGAGUAGCUGUUCGCGUCGAGGGAUCACAAGACUGGGCUUACCGAAGGCAAGUGGCUAGUACUAUAAAUUCUCAACCCAGCAGGCCAUCAACGGACCGGUCCUUAAUCGACACAGUUGGAGACACUACUUUAAGACUCCAUUCUUAAAGCAAGUCCACCGACCGGUCUCAAAUUGAAACAUCAUUGAUCGUAAGUGUAUCCCACAACAACCCUUCAAACUUUCUUGUUUAAAAACCUAUCUAGUAGCAGGGCUAAGCAUCGCUACGCAGUUUUAAAAUAAAACAGGUGUCAAGGACAGGAUACAGAUAUCAAGGUAGUAAAUGCAGCAAGUAGGUUAACCCAAUUCUCAACUACCUAAUGCAGCAUUUUCAAUUCAUAAGUGAUAAAAGAUUUAAAACAUCCAAGGAGGGGUUAAUGCAUCCGGGGCUUGCCUUGGUUGCAGGGCAGAGAGGGACCCUCGGAGACUUCCCAAGUCUCGGAUCCGACUUCCUCAAACGGAGCACCGACCUCGGGGUUCGGUUCAACGGGCGCUCCUUCGGUCACGGACGCUAUACGCAAGAUGAUGAAUGCUUAUGAUAUGCGUAUGGCAGUUAUGCAAGAUGGACCGAAUUAAGUACGAUUUGCCUUUUAAUGCAAUACAGAAUUGUCACUAAAUAAAGUUGUUUAAUAACUUAAUAUUUUUACCCAAGAGGUUGCACCUGUAACUAAGACUUUACUUAAUUCAUAAUUAUCUUAAAUUAAGUAAUUAUUAAACCUAUUUGCCUUAAUUAAUUCUUAAUUAAUUACUAAUGACAGCAAUUAAGCAUUAAGGCUAAACAAUAAUUAACUGCCAGAGGUCAUUAGGGUUAAUGACCUCAGGUCAUCACACAAUCCCAAAAUCACUCAACCCUAAUUAUGAGGAUUUAGUUAAUCACUAUUUACUUAUUUUGGAAUGAUUAAUUAAAUACUAAAUAAGGGUUUAUUAACAUUUUAACCAAACCUUAUCCAGCCACCAAAUUUUGGGUGGAGCCAGGGAAUAAUAUUCAGAGGCUCCCCACAAUUUUUGGUGAUUUUUGGACAUACAAUUAAAUUAUUAAAAUUCAUACAAGUUUUAUUUGCUAAUUAAAAGGGCAAAUUUUUACAGACAUGUAAACUACCAGAAAACAGAACUUAAUAUUUUUCUUGGGUUCUACUUACUUCAGAGAGUCUACACAAAAAUUCUCAUUAUUUUUGGAUCAGCACAGAAUUCACCAUUCAAAUUCAAACAUUAAGUACUUUUUAAACAAAAAGAAAAAAGAAAAGGGCACUGUGCCCCGCUGGCGGCCCGCUGGGAUCCGGCCCAAGUCGGCCCGAGAGUGCUCUCCCGCGCGGACCGCGCGCGCGCUCUCUCUCACGCGGCCACUGACGGGCGGGUCCCGCCUGUCAGAGGCGUCUUCAACCUCCCACCACCGCUCCGGUGAGCUCCGGCUCCGCGCCGGUGAGCUCCCGGCCUGCGCGGCGGGGUGGGUUAGCAUCUCCAGCGUCUCACGCAACCUCUAGGACACACGAGACCACCUCUACUCCCUCCUACCCUCCCUGUCCACGCUCCUGGCGGAUGGCCGCCGCGGCCGAGCCAACGCCGGCCGCUUCAGGCGAGUAGAGCGUGAAGUAAGCGGCGCAACAGCACCAGAAGCUCACCGUGACUUCAACGAAGCAAGAAACAGCAGCGGAGAGGCUUUGAGCGAUGCUGGCCACGGUGACGUGCUUGCGGUGGCGCUCGGCCGGAGUUGGGGGAGAAACGGCUCGGGUGGAAGCUACGGUAGGAUAGAGCGUGUGUUUGGGGGCGCAAUCGGUGGCGGGGUUCACGGCGGAGCUGCUGGGGUGCUCAGGUGGCUUGAAACGGCAGUGAGUGAGGCGAAUUGGAGAGGCGCAGGGAGCUCGUCGGCGUCGGGGUUCAAGAAAAGGAAGAGGGGACUCUGGCCACUCGGGGCUUUAUCCCCACAACGGACGGCGGUUCGCGGAUGAGGACGUCCACGCGAAGCACGGCAGCAAGCAGCUGCGUGGCCAGCUGCGUGGCGGCGCGCGCGGAGGCGGCUCUGCCCCGGCGGCAGAGCACCCCCCCCUGCCGAUCACUGUAGCCGGCCUCAUCCACUCAGUUUGUCUUUUUGCAAAAUUCGCCCAAAAUUUGAACUGAGCACAAAAUUCAACCAAAACAAAAGUUGUGCACAAUUUUAUAAGCUACAAAACAUAUUUAAGAGUCCAGAACUGAUUUUGAGUGUAACAGGGUGAAUUUGGCCAAACAGUUUGGAAAUCAAACUCAAAUCAAAGAAAUUCCAAAUUUUUGAAUUGGGGCAAAACAGAAUUUCCAAAAUUACUUUUGAUUUUGUAUAACAACUUGAAAAACUCCCAACAUGAAAGUUGCUCAACUUUUUGUGCUCUACAACUUUCAUGUUGACCACUUUUCAAAAUUCCAAAUGGAUUUUGAAUUGGGGGUUUAAGUUGGAAAAGGGGACACUUUCUGGAAAUCUGUAUUUUCAAAAUUACUUUGAAUUUUAUAUUGAAACUUCAAAAACUCAAAACACCAAAGUUGUACAUCUUGCCAAGAGCUACAACUUUGCUUUUAAACUCAACCUCAAAUUUUGCUUAGUUUUUGACUUAUGCAAAAAGGGGCAAAUCUAGGAUCCAGAAAUCAGGGUUUUUCCCCCUUUAGCCUAUCGGAAAACUUCCACCCUAGGGGUUUAGCAACCACACAAGCAACAACACACCACAAAAGCACACUCUACUUUCCUAAGCUCAAGCAAUCAAAGUAAACUUAUUUUAAGUUGAUGCAUACUGAUGUGCUUUAACAAUUAUGCUUUGCAAUGCUUAUGAUGACAUGAUCCAUUUUUAGUAACCGUAACAUCGAGGAUGUUACAGCCCUUCCCCCUUAAAGAAAUCUCGUCCCCGAGAUUUAAAACCUUAGGGUAAGUAAUGGAAAAGGAAAUUUGUCAAAACUCUUUCAUCUUCAACUUUUCCACAAGGCAAGGAGUUGGGGAAAAAUACUUCAUUAUAUGCAUAUAGGUACAUUAAGUACAUGGCUUUGGUAACUCUUUUUCUUCACUGGAGUACAUUCUCUGGUUAUCAUAUGCUUUCCUAAAGGGAAGCAUGGAAUUCAGGAAAAUUCUCUAGCAAGUAAUCUUCAGAUUCCCAGGUGGCUUCUUCCUCAGAGUGCUGGCUCCAUUGUACCUUAUACCAUUUAGUGGUCGUCCUUCGAGUAACCCUAGCUUUUUGAUCCAGUACUCGGAUAGGAUAUUCCGAAUAAGUUAGAUCUGGUUCAAGCUUUACAUCUUCAAUAUCUUGAACUCGAUCUGGUACCCGAAGACACUUUUUCAGUUGAGACACAUGGAACACAUUAUGUACCCCGGAUAAUCGCUCGGGCAAUUUAAGGCGGUAAGCGACUUGCCCACAUCGGUCAAUAAUUGGAAAUGGACCAAUGUAACGAGGCGCUAACUUGCCUUUAACACCAAAACGAUUUACUCCUUUCAUUGGGGAUACUUUCAAAUACACAUGAUCACCUUUGGCGAACUUUAAUGGUCGACGCCUUUUAUCAGCGUAACUUUUCUGUCGGGACUGAGCAACUUUCAAGUUAUUUUGGAUUUGUUUCACUUUGUUCUCAGUCUCUUUCACUAAGUCAACUCCGAAGAACCAUCUUUCUCCAGGUUCUGACCAGUGUAACGGAGUUCGACAUCGGCGACCAUACAGUGCCUCAAAGGGAGCCAUUUUGAUACUCUCUUGAUAGCUAUUAUUGUAGGAAAAUUCUGCUAGAGGCAAGCAGUCAUCCCACUUAUCUGGAAAAUUCAGGGCACAAGAUCUUAAUAGAUCUUCUAGGGUUUGAUUUACCCUUUCAGUUUGCCCACCGGUUUGAGGGUGGUAGGCUGUGCUGUAUAAAAGCUUAGUGCCCAAGGACUCAUGUAAACAUUUCCAGAAUUGGGAGACAAAUUGUGUGCCUCUAUCUGACACUAUUGUCUUUGGCACUCCAUGCAGACUUAGAAUACGGUCAAAAUAAAUCUUAGCAUAGGUGGAGGCAGGAUACAAUAGCUUUACCGGUAGAAAAUGUGCUGUUUUGGUGAGACGAUCUACUAUGACCCAAAUGGAAUCAAAGCCCUUGGCCGUCUUGGGCAAUCCUACUAUGAAAUCCAUACUUAUGUCAUCCCAUUUCCAUGCGGGGAUAGGCAAAGGUUGCAACUCCCCAGCGGAUUUGAGAUGAAUGGCUUUGACCUUUCGACAGGUGUCACAUUGGGCCACAUAGCGAGCUAUUUCUAUCUUCAUUUUUGUCCACCAAAACCUUUGCUUCAGGUCCUGAUACAUCUUAUUGCUUCCCGGAUGAAUGGAAUACCUCGUGCUAUGAGCUUCAUCCAGGAUUUGCUGACGUAGCUCAGGUACCUUUGGAACCACUAACCGGUUCUUGAACCAGAUUACUCCCGCAUCAUCCACCUUAAAGUCUGUGAGUGCUCUAUUAGAAAUCUUCUCUUUAAGAUGUCUCAUGCCUUUGUUUUCUUUUUGUGCCUUUAUGAUUUGAGCCUCGAGAUUGAAAUCAAUCUUUAAAUUGGAAAGGCUUCCUUGGGAAAUCAUUUCUAUUCCCAAGUUCUCUAGCUCUUGGCACAAAGUUAUAUCCCUAGGCUUCACUGUUAAGCAAUUACAGUGAGCCUUACGACUGAGGGCAUCCGCUACUACAUUUGCCUUGCCAGGGUGAUAAUGCACCUCAAGGUCGUAAUCUUUAAUUAGUUCUAGCCACCUUCGCUGGCGCAUAUUAAGCUCAGCUUGAGUAAAGAUAUACUUCAAGCUUUUGUGAUCUGUAUAUAGAUGACAUGUGUUUCCCAACAAAUAAUGACGCCAGAUCUUUAAUGCAUGUACCACGGCGGCUAGUUCGAGAUCAUGGGUCGGGUAAUUCUCUUCAUGAGGUUUAAGUUGUCUGGAAGCAUAUGCAAUUACGCGACCCUCCUGCAUCAGCACACAGCCUAACCCUAUUCCGGAUGCGUCACAAUAUACAUCAAAGGGUUUUUCAAUAUCUGGCUGGGCUAAGACAGGUGCAGUUGUCAACAACCUUUUCAGAGUCUGAAAGGCUUGCUCACAUUGGGGUGACCAAACAAAUUUUGUUUGACUUUUGAGCAAGGUUGUGAUUGGUUUGGCGACUCUGGAAAAGUCCGGGAUAAAACGACGAUAAUAUCCCGCCAUGCCCAGAAAACUACGGACCUCAUGUACCGUAGUCGGGGGUUUCCAAUUCAACACAUCUUCUACCUUGCCUGGGUCUACAGCGACUCCUUCCGCUGAUAAUACAUGACCCAGGAAAUGAACUUUGUCCAGCCAGAACUCACAUUUGCUGAACUUGGCAUAUAGCUGAUGCUCCCUGAGACGGGUCAGCACGAUUCUCAAGUGUUCAGCAUGUUCCUUCUUAGUUUUGGAGUAAAUCAAGAUGUCAUCGAUGAAGACGACCACAAAUUUGUCUAGUUCUGGCAUGAAGACAGAGUUCAUCAGGUACAUAAAAUGGGCCGGUGCGUUAGUCAACCCAAAAGACAUCACCAAGUAUUCAUACAACCCGUAACGGGUUGUGAAAGCAGUCUUGGGCACAUCUUCCGGCCUAAUUUUAAUUUGAUGGUACCCUGAUCUUAAAUCAAUUUUUGAGAACACCUUGGCCCCAGCUAACUGGUCAAACAAUAAGUCAAUGCGGGGCAAUGGGUACUUAUUUUUAAUCGUCACCUCAUUUAGAGGACGAUAGUCGACACACAGCCUUAAUGUUUGAUCUUUCUUCUUCACAAACAAGGCUGGGCAACCUCAUGGAGAAGAACUGGGCUGAAUAAAACCCUUCUGCAACAACUCUUGUAAUUGGGUUUUUAAUUCGGCCAGCUCUUUCGGUGCCAUUCUGUAGGCCCUUCGAGAUAUUGGGGCCGUUCCUGGUUUCAAUUCUAUACUGAAUUGUACAUCCCGGUCCGGAGGCAGACCUGGUAAGUCUUCAGGAAAUACAUCCGGGAAAUCUCGAACUACCGGGAUAUCUUUAACUUCAGACACAUUAGCGGCAUGAACUUGCCCAAUUGUCCGUUUGGGAGUAACUAAUUGGAUUAGCAAAUAAGAAUUCUCAUUGGGCAAUGGGAUUUUAAUGGUUCGGUGCAAAGUGUCUAGCACAACCCCUCGUUGCGCCAUCCAGUUCAUGCCUAAGAUGACAUCAAUUUCUUGGUCCUUAAGAACAAUCAUGCUAGUAGGAAAAUUGUGCCCACAAAAUUCGAUGGGUACUUGGUGAACCAUUUCUUUAGACAUCAGCCGUCCUCCUGGCGACUGUAUAUAAAAAUGAUCUUGUGUUUCCCCAAUGGGUAUGCCAUGCUUUAACACAAAGGUGCGAUUGAUAAAUGUAUGGGAUGCACCAGAAUCAAAGAGCAUUAAAGCAGGAUGCUUCGCAACAGGAAACGUACCCAUCAUCACGGGUUCACCCUCUGGAAUUGUCUCCACUUCAGUAUGGAAGACUUGCCCUGUCUUCUUUACCGGUCUACCUUUCUGUACCUGUUGCCCUUUUUGAACCCCAGUUCUGAACUGACUCGGCUGGGGUUGGCCCAUAGGUGGCCUGGGAAAGGUAGGGUUGGUUUGACGAGGAAAAGGGCACUCUUUAGAGAAAUGCCCAGGUUUACCACAAUUGAAGCAAGGGUAAUUGUGGCUGGGCGGAGCAGUAGGGCGAACACCCGGGGCGUUCGGCUGGCGUGGUGCAAAAGCGAUGGCAGUAGGUCGAGAAUAUACCUGCUGCCCGGGUCUGUACUGUGGAGGGGAGAAAGGACCACGAUAAGGUAACGGCGUUUGGAAACGUCCGUGGCCCUGUGGAUGAUAAAUGAUCCUCUGGCGCUUUUGACCGCGACCAGAGAAGGAAGAGGAAGCAGCCUUCUUCUUGGCUUCCUUAUGUUUCCUAUUCUUUUCCUCUGAGGCGAUAGCAAUAUUUACCGCCUCAUAGAAAGUAGCAUUUUGGCAAGUGGUCAUCAUGGUCUGAAGUUUAGUAUUUAGACCACGCAUGAAACAGGCUUUCCUCUUUCUGUCAGUGUUCACAUGAUCCGUGGCAUAUUGAGAGAGAUGAUUAAACCUUGCCACGUAUUCCAUAACACUUUUGUCGCCUUGCUGCAAGGCGAGAAACUCUUCGGCCUUCAUGGCCAUGAGCCCUUCGGGGAUGUAGUGGGCGCGGAACGCGUCCCUAAACUCGGUCCAGGUAACUUGGUGUCCGGGAGCUUGAAUAGCUAAGAAGUUCUCCCACCAGGCACCUGCAGCUCCCCGAAGCUGCUGGGCUGCAAAUAAGGGUUUCUGAGUUUCUGAACACUGAAUUAAACUGAACUUAUGCUCCAUAGUUCGGAGCCAGUCAUCCGCUUCUAAAGGCUCAUCGGCCUUAGUGAACACCGGGGGCCUGGUCUCGGUAAAAUCCACAUACCGAGCCUCUCCAUCCCCGUUGCGCGGUGCUCUGAAGUUUGGAGCAGGGUGUGGUUGACGCUGGGCUAGCUCGCGCAGCAAGCGAGCGUUGUCAGUUGUGGCACUUAGCAGGACAGCAAUGGCGUCAGCCAAAGAAGGUGGAGCAGGUGGAGGGUUGGGGAUAUCAUCCCCUCCCUGGGAUGUCCCAGCUCCAUCGGAUCCGCGAGUACGCAUCGGCAUCUGUUACAAGAAUCGUAGAUACCUGUUACCACGUAAAAUUCAUAACACAGAACAUAUCUUACAUUCUUUCAUUCACUUAUUAAACAUUAGUUCGACACACCAAGAGUAAACAGGUUCAACUUCUCAAACCGAAAGAAAACUUAUAUUACAAACCCGAACCCCACUACGGCAAGCUAAGACCCCUACAACGACGUUGCCCUCGGUUUCACCGAACUAAUCGGUGUGGCCAGAGCUGUAGCCCGGGUCGUCAUUGCCAUCAUCUUGAUUACCCCCUGGGUUGUGGUCAUCGGGGUCGGACUCCUCUUCAUCACUGAAGCCUGGAUCGGGCUCUCCAUCAUCUGCCAACUCGCCAUCUGUAUCCAUUUCUCCUUCGCCGGGAGGUGGGUGGAGUUGAUGAUACAGAUUAAAUGCAAUAUCAUGAUAUUGCAUAGCCAGGUCAUUGACCGUAUCUAAGUGAUGUGCCAGCUCCAGUUUCUCCAGCUGGAGCUGGUCCUCUCGUUGCCACGCGACAUCCCGUUGUGCGGUGACCGUGGCCGCCAUCUUCACAUACAAAUCCUUAAGAUACCUUGCCUUGCCCAACUUUGCGUUCAUCCUAAUUAGCUCAUGCCUAUGGGUGCUCCUAGCUUCUUCCUCUCGGGCAAUGGCUGCAUUCCGCUCCUCCACCAUCCGGGACAACAUAGCUUCACAAUUUUCUGUAGCUUGUUUUUCUUUGGCCAGUUGAGCUUUAAGUUUGCCAAUCUCCAUAACAUUGUACAUUCUCUCUCUCAUCACCUCAGUCAACUCGGCGGACAACCUGUCCACCUCCUGCUGAGGCGGUGUACGGCUACUACUGGCUUGAUCACUGCGUGGAGCUAGCUGAUGUCGGGGAACUCCUUUUGGACCAGUCCGCUUACGCGGGGUCUGCUUCUGACGAGCCAUCCUGUAGAGGGUAAGUUUAGAUGAGUAAGAGAGACCUUAAAGGUUAGCAAGAAUAGGAUUGAUUCUAUUCACCCAACCCAACAAGGAGGAAGGAACUUAAUCAGUUAAUACAUCAUGAUGCAUGCACGAACUUACGAUUCCGACUAACAAUUCGUAACAACAGUACCUUAAAUUUUUACAACAUAGGGCAAUACUUUAGGUUGCUCCUCCAUACCACUUCAAAAAUUCUAAAAAAGCCUAUAGACAGGGGUAGAUUAGGACUAAGCACUUGGACUCAAAAUAGGCAAGUUCAUAAUAUUAGUUCCAAACGAAUUUUUGAAGUUUUUCAAAAGGUUCAGCAGUCAUCUUAGCAACGAAUGCUCUGAUACCAGCUGUGGCAGAACCUCCUAAGUGUUUGGGCCCACCGACAUCUGCCAUUGUCCUAAGGACCUCUGACGGUGAUGCCGGGAGUCCUCCCACUUUAGAAGUCCGAUGAGCAUUACUGGGUGCUCAUUCCACUGCUACCUGUGGCGUACCAAGCUGGCUCGUCCUGACCACUGAUAAUGGUCAAGCAACGAGAACUGUUUCUUCUCGCCCUUACAGGAUAGCAAGUGGCCACCUUAACACCAGGAUCACUCGUUGCGAAGAUAAAGCAGUAACUCAACGACACAAGACCAAAAUAAUAUUUCAGAGUGAAACAGCGGAAGUAUUACAUAACUUAAUUUAUAAAAGGAGUUCUUCCAAAUAGUAGAGUGUUAUUACAAGCCUGGUCCAGCGGAGCAACUGAAACUUUAGUACAGACAAAACAAAUUUACAGACCCUGCCCAUGGGUCACGCUCACUCUUCUUCGUCGUCAACCUCAACGACGGUCACACAACAGGGUCCGAAACAAGUCGGCUCCUGAGCUUCACCUGCAACAGGGGUAUUGAACCCUGAGUACGGGAGUACUCAACAAGACUUAUCCGACGGGAAAAGAGGAGAAUUUAGGGAUGCAGGCUUAGGGUAGACAAGGGGUGGCUGAGCAAGGAGCCAAAGUGUUUUGCGGAAGAGCUUACUAGUAGUGCAUCCUUAUUUUCAAGUUUUACCCCGAAUUCCUCCCUCGCAGAGGCAGAAGAAUUCGAGGAUAGUCUAACUGGUUGUUCCCCACAGACGAAUCCGUGAGUUCCUAGUCCUAUCAUUAAGUAUUAUUUAUCGAUGGCCAUAGCUUCAUGUCGCUAUGAGUCCGGGAAUUGGGAUCCGAACCUCAUGAGACAUUUUCCCCUUUCUCAUUAUAUCACUUAGUUGCAUAUUUAACUACGAUGAGGGUCGAAGGAAUUGAGUCUCCCAAUCGGGGAGCAACGACGAUUCGAAUCGCUUAGCAAUCCAGCUGGAGUUCCUAACCACCCGACAUAUGUAGAACUAAAUCUUGCAUAUGUCAACCCAAAUCAAGCUCUCCCCAAAUCUGACCAGGUUCGCGGCACCCGAGAGCACAGUACUCCACCAUCCUACAGCCGAUCUAGAUGUUUUCCGGUCAUCUCAGAUCCGUAAGGUGGGUACACACUACUCUCGCCAUCUUUCCACUCCCAGUGCGCGAGUAGCUGUUCGCGUCGAGGGAUCACAAGACUGGGCUUACCGUAGGCAAGUGGCUAGUACUAUAAAUUCUCAACCCAGCAGGCCAUCAACGGAACGGUCCUUAAUCAACACAGUCGGAGACACUACUUUAAGACUCCAUUCUUAGAGCAAGUCCACCGACCGGUCUCAAAUUGAAACAUCAUUGAUCGUAAGUGUAUCCCACAACAACCCUUCAAACUUUCUUGUUUAAAAACCUAUCUAGUAGCAGGGCUAAGCAUCGCUACGCAGUUUUAAAAUAAAACAGGUGUCAAGGACAGGAUACAGAUAUCAAGGUAGUAAAUGCAGCAAGUAGGUUAACCCAAUUCUCAACUACCUAAUGCAGCAUUUUCAAUUCAUAAGUGAUAAAAGAUUUAAAACAUCCAAGGAGGGGUUAAUGCAUCCGGGGCUUGCCUUGGUUGCAGGGCAGAGAGGGACCCUCGGAGACUUCCCAAGUCUCGGAUCCGACUUCCUCAAACGGAGCACCGACCUCGGGGUUCGGUUCAACGGGCGCUCCUUCGGUCACGGACGCUAUACGCAAGAUGAUGAAUGCUUAUGAUAUGCGUAUGGCAGUUAUGCAAGAUGGACCGAAUUAAGUACGAUUUGCCUUUUAAUGCAAUACAGAAUUGUCACUAAAUAAAGUUGUUUAAUAACUUAAUAUUUUUACCCAAGAGGUUGCACCUGUAACUAAGACUUUACUUAAUUCAUAAUUAUCUUAAAUUAAGUAAUUAUUAAACCUAUUUGCCUUAAUUAAUUCUUAAUUAAUUACUAAUGACAGCAAUUAAGCAUUAAGGCUAAACAAUAAUUAACUGCCAGAGGUCAUUAGGGUUAAUGACCUCAGGUCAUCACACAAUCCCAAAAUCACUCAACCCUAAUUAUGAGGAUUUAGUUAAUCACUAUUUACUUAUUUUGGAAUGAUUAAUUAAAUACUAAAUAAGGGUUUAUUAACAUUUUAACCAAACCUUAUCCAAAUGCCACCAAAUUUUGGGUGGAGCCAGGGAAUAAUAUUCAGAGGCUCCCCAUAAUUUUUGGUGAUUUUUGGACAUACAAUUAAAUUAUUAAAAUUCAUACAAGUUUUAUUUGCUAAUUAAAAGGGCAAAUUUUUACAGACAUGUAAACUACCAGAAAACAGAACUUAAUAUUUUUCUUGGGUUCUACUUACUUCAGAGAGUCUACACAAAAAUUCUCAUUAUUUUUGGAUCAGCACAGAAUUCACCAUUCAAAUUCAAACAUUAAGUACUUUUUAAACAAAAAGAAAAAAGAAAAGGGCACUGUGCCCCGCUGGCGGCCCGCUGGGAUCCGGCCCAAGUCGGCCCGAGAGUGCUCUCCCGCGCGGACCGCGCGCGCGCUCUCUCUCACGCGGCCACUGACGGGCGGGUCCCGCCUGUCAGAGGCGUCUUCAACCUCCCACCACCGCUCCGGUGAGCUCCGGCUCCGCGCCGGUGAGCUCCCGGCCUGCGCGGCGGGGUGGGUUAGCAUCUCCAGCGUCUCACGCAACCUCUAGGACACACGAGACCACCUCUACUCCCUCCUACCCUCCCUGUCCACGCUCCUGGCGGAUGGCCGCCGCGGCCGAGCCAACGCCGGCCGCUUCAGGCGAGUAGAGCGUGAAGUAAGCGGCGCAACAGCACCAGAAGCUCACCGUGACUUCAACGAAGCAAGAAACAGCAGCGGAGAGGCUUUGAGCGAUGCUGGCCACGGUGACGUGCUUGCGGUGGCGCUCGGCCGGAGUUGGGGGAGAAACGGCUCGGGUGGAAGCUACGGUAGGAUAGAGCGUGUGUUUGGGGGCGCAAUCGGUGGCGGGGUUCACGGCGGAGCUGCUGGGGUGCUCAGGUGGCUUGAAACGGCAGUGAGUGAGGCGAAUUGGAGAGGCGCAGGGAGCUCGUCGGCGUCGGGGUUCAAGAAAAGGAAGAGGGGACUCUGGCCACUCGGGGCUUUAUCCCCACAACGGACGGCGGUUCGCGGAUGAGGACGUCCACGCGAAGCACGGCAGCAAGCAGCUGCGUGGCCAGCUGCGUGGCGGCGCGCGCGGAGGCGGCUCUGCCCCGGCGGCAGAGCACCCCCCCUGCCGAUCACUGUAGCCGGCCUCAUCCACUCAGUUUGUCUUUUUGCAAAAUUCGCCCAAAAUUUGAACUGAGCACAAAAUUCAACCAAAACAAAAGUUGUGCACAAUUUUAUAAGCUACAAAACAUAUUUAAGAGUCCAGAACUGAUUUUGAGUGUAACAGGGUGAAUUUGGCCAAACAGUUUGAAAAUCAAACUCAAAUCAAAGAAAUUCCAAAUUUUUGAAUUGGGGCAAAACAGAAUUUCCAAAAUUACUUUUGAUUUUGUAUAACAACUUGAAAAACUCCCAACAUGAAAGUUGCUCAACUUUUUGUGCUCUACAACUUUCAUGUUGACCACUUUUCAAAAUUCCAAAUGGAUUUUGAAUUGGGGGUUUAAGUUGGAAAAGGGGACACUUUCUGGAAAUCUGUAUUUUCAAAAUUACUUUGAAUUUUAUAUUGAAACUUCAAAAACUCAAAACACCAAAGUUGUACAUCUUGCCAAGAGCUACAACUUUGCUUUUAAACUCAACCUCAAAUUUUGCUUAGUUUUUGACUUAUGCAAAAAGGGGCAAAUCUAGGAUCCAGAAAUCAGGGUUUUUCCCCCUUUAGCCUAUCGGAAAACUUCCACCCUAGGGGUUUAGCAACCACACAAGCAACAACACACCACAAAAGCACACUCUACUUUCCUAAGCUCAAGCAAUCAAAGUAAACUUAUUUUAAGUUGAUGCAUACUGAUGUGCUUUAACAAUUAUGCUUUGCAAUGCUUAUGAUGACAUGAUCCAUUUUUAGUAACCGUAACAUCGAGGAUGUUACAUAUAUUGGUCCUUAUCGUUAUUUAUUUCAUGAUUAAAAUCGAUACUUAAGAACCGUCAACAGCAGGACUUGAAAGAGACCUCCCGGCUAAAAUCGGGCUUUAUUCAUGCAACAAGGGGUGGCUGGGAGCAGCUUCCUCUUCUCAAGGAUCAGCUCCUCGAGUGGUAGGAGAGGGUCCUUAAGGCCUACGAGGAUCUUACUACGGCCCUGGAGGAGAAGCAGGAGAAGGAGGCUGCUCUGACCGACGCUCGGAAGACCCUGUCUAGUAUGAACGGCAAGGUCUCCCGGGUAGAGGAAGAUGCCCAUGUCGCUCGAGAGGCCGCGGAGAAAGCAAAGGAGGAAGCCGCCCGAUCGAGGGAGCAGGCCGUUUCGGCCGAGGAGGCGGCUGCUAAGGCUCGAGAGGAGUCUGCGUGGUAUAAGGGUGAGGUCAUCGAGCUGGACAAAGGAAAAAGGCUAGUUGAGUCUGACCUUGCCGCCGCCUAGAGCGGUUAUACUGGGCUGAAGGAGGUGCUUCUGAAUAGCGAGAUCGCUCGAGGCGCCGUGGAAGAGGCUGAGAAGAAGGCCCGUGAGGAUCUCGAGGUAGAGCAGGCCCGCUCUCACGGUCUUUCUGACGACGUUGAUCGUCUAAAGAAAGCGCUGCGAGAGAAAGAAGAAGCUAUCCUACAGUGGGGCAAGCUGAUCAAGGACCUACGUGUCGACAAUGUAACAGAACCGUCCAAUUUAUAAGAAUUUAAGUGAAUUAGCGACCACGAGAGUAGUCAAGCCAAUGGACUUGAACCCAUAUAAACCUGGUAGUCCGACGAAACCUCAAAAGAUCUCGAUUCAACCAACAUACAACCAAGACCGUAUAUGAUCAAGCAUCUUCAUCACAGAUUACAACCAUCCAUCAUAGAACAUAGUUUUACACACAUCGGAGUUCAAAUAAGUUAUUACAACAUAGUUCAGUAGUGGAAGCAAAGUAGUUUUUAAACAACAUGCACACUUAGUUCAAUUACAUGUCAGCAUGAUGAUCAACCCAACAAAAGCAUAACCAAAGAUACAAGAGGUGAUCUUGCCCGAGAUCUACUCAUCAUCCGCAGCCGGAUGGUGACAGUUAGCACAGUACCCAUGGUACACGACAUCAUCUGCAACAAGGGUAAAUAAAACCCUGAGUACGAGAAGGUACUCAGCUAGACUUACCCGUCAUAAACCAAAAAUAAAAUAACACCAAGGAGUAUGCAAGACUCAUAUUUGUGGGCUGGUUUCACUCACAUUUUGCAAAAAAAAAAGCUUUAGUUUUGAGUAACAUAUCUAUAACAUUUUCAGCAGCAAGUUUAUUACUUUAAAACAGCUAUCCACUAGAUUAGCACCUGUUCUAAGCAUACACUUAAGUAUUAAGCAUCACAAUAAUAACCAUAUCCGGAUUAUCACAUAGCCAUCAUCAUUCUCAUCAUAACCAUUAAGUUUAUUUAGUGAAUUCUACGUUGCCACUGCUCGAGUCAAGUUCUCACUAUCCCGGAGAGACGGCGAUUCGAAUCGAUUCCUAUCCAGCUGGAGGGGUAUUCAUAGCACUCACCCAAGCAUACCUCGCGAGGGCAGCUCAGAUCACCUUUAGCACCACUCAGGACUAAUUCAUGGGUCCGUACAACGCCGCACCCCCCAGGGACCACCAAUCUGCCAGGGUCAGGACUCUAACCUGACACCUCGGUCUUACGCCAUUGACUCCCCGCACAUCGUUGCUACCAACCGGGGGGGCACACUUAAACCGAACGGGGUAUCCGGCCUGAGUUGCACUCGUAGACUUCACGGUCGGAACGACUUAUUCGGCCAGCUAAGUGUUAGGCAUGUGUUCAACAUGACAAGAGGACGCAUAGCGUAUCGGUCCUUAAACGACACAGACGGGAUAAAUCCACACCCAAGACCUACCUUGUUGCUUUACUAUCGCAUUCCCACCUGGUCUCCAUUCAUUCUUAUCACAUGGUUGUUCCACGAUAGCAAAUAUAGCCAACCGUGAUCAAGUAUCCACCUAUCUCUCGCAGGUGACAGGGAAUCACCCGGCUUCUACCGAGCUAAGCAUGGCUAAGCAUUAUUUCGAUCCUGGACCUAUUCAGGUGAGGUAUAAGGUGGACAAGGUAGUCAUUAUGCAGCAAGGUUGUCAUAUCAAUGCCUAACACUUAAUGCAACAAUACAUAACCAUAGUUAAUUGACAGCUGGACAUGAUAACAAAAUAGCAGGAGUCUUAUAAUGCUCCGGGGCUUGCCUUCGAUGUAGGUGGAAGGACGGUGGUCAGGGCACUCUGGUAGAUCCUCCUCCUCCUCAGCUCCUUCUCGUUGAGGUGGCAACCUCUACUGCUCCUCCAGCUCAGGUGGUGUGAAUUCUAGGACCGUCACGCCCUUGGGUACACCUAUGUAUGCAUGACAAAGUGAUAAACAUAGGGAAUGCACAUAGGAUGCAAUAUGACAUAUGAGGAGCCAAAGGAACAUGUAUCAAGGUGCAAACAUGAUCACAAGCUUCUUAGAUUAAGUGAAUCAUAGAUUAACAAGUAAGUACAUACUUCUUCUCUGGUAGAGAGGCAAACUAUACAAGCUAAUCAACCUUAGCCACUCACACUCAACAUCUGGUGUUAUGGGUAAACUGGGUAGUCACAAGUUUCAGCUAUAACUUAGUCACCAUUUGGCAAAACUAAGCAAGUAAGCACUUUCUGGAAAGCUUAACAAAUUAUCUACAAAUCACUUUUAGACAACACAGAAAGAUUCCCAACCGAAAUAGGUCAAAACAGAUAAAGUCUCCUGGCUGCUCUAGAAAAAUCCAGAGAGCAAGCAUUUCGCAGCAGUAACUUGCAAAAGCUAUAACUUCUAAGCUACUCAGCUAGAUGUUAUGAAAUUUGGACACAAGGUAGAUGAGUAAGUUAGCUACAAGCUUGUUAUAAACAAGUUUUCCAGAAAACUUCAUCUUCAAGCAGUUCUUAAGAAAUUGCUAUCAGCUACACAGGAUAUGCUCUAGACAAGGCAUAAAUAGCAAAAUAAUAUUUUAGCACGUAUUAAGAAUGUAACAUUGGUUCAAACCAAAAGUACCAGUAGCUAGAGCAUGUCUGAGGAACACCAUAAAAAAUCAUGGCAAGGUUUAAACUCAUUUUUAUUAUCCCCUUUUUGAUUUAUUUGAUUAUUAAGGUGAGUUAAUGAGCAUAUAGUACAAGUGCUCCAAAAAUUCCAGCAAAAUUACAGCAAGCUACUCAUGCUACUACAAGGUCACUGUAAAAUUUCCAUGGCACUUGCACAUGUAGAUUGUGAUGUACAAAAAUGACAAACUGCCAAUGGCACUAAAAGCAUAAAUGUGAAACCCUACCAAAAAGUGUCAAACAACAGAUUUCAGAUUUUUCAUAGCUUUAGCUUCACAUGUUUACAUCACUCAACAAGUUUCAUCAUAAAAGGAGUUAUAAUUUAUUUAUUAAAAAUACCACAAGAAACUCCUAUUUGAACAAGGGAUAAUCAUAACUUCAACACAAGCCAUCCAAAAAUCAUGAGAAAGUUAUCAGAUCCUAUACAUAGCAUACAUAUUAAUCUCCUAAAUUUGCAUGGUCAUAGGCUUACAGACCUGAAGAUAUAAUUACCUUCUUUUUAUUAAGGAUUAAAUCAUAUCUAUUUAUUUCUGUAAAAACAUGGCAUGUUUCAUAUUUUUAUUAAAAACUAGAGUAAUUCAAGAGUGUGACAAAAUUGGAAUCACUUCAUUUGGAUCUAUCUAGCUCAAGUUAUGAAUUUUCUAAAACAGCAUUGAAUCUGCCAAAAACAGAAAUAGAGGGACAGAGAGACAGUGGCUGACAGAGGGACCCACGGUCAGUGGGACCCGCUCGACAGUGACACAGAGACAGGGGAGAGCUCAUUGCCGGCGAAACUCAACGACUGCAAGGUCUCGGCUGAAUCCAAGGGCACAGUCGUGACCCUCUCCCCAAGGCGGACCUAACAAGGUAUGAAACCCUCACUCUACCGAGCUCUAGGGGGUUCGCCGGCGUGAAUGGUGGCUCGGCGGCGCUGCGGGUGGUGCGCCGGCGUGCUCAGCCGAUGCCGACCCAGUUGAAAUUCACGCCGAGCAUCAGAGAGUCAAGGGGAAGCUCUAGGAAAAAAAUGGAAGGAAAUGGUGGAGCAGAAAGGCCUAGCCACGUUGCCGGUGAGCACGGCGGAACUCCAGCGAGGGAGAAACCACUCGGAGCUCGGCAAUGCUGCCUUACCCGUGCUCGACAGUGGCAACGGAGGUGACGUCGAGGUGAAGGAGGCACUGGCAAAGCUUUUGGCAAGCUGGCUUGGCCAGAGACGAGGAGGAGAGCUCGGGCGGAGUCACUAACCCGCGGUGGAGCUCGCCGAGGAAGAGAGCGGAGAGAAGAGAGGGCACUGGAGGGGGAAUGGAGGUCGGCUGCCGCUCAGGGGGCGUCGUGGCAUCCAAGUGGAGGUGUUGGGGCUGACAGGCAGGGUCUCCAUCGAUGUAUGGCUGCCAUGGGGCAUCCAUGCAUCGAUCGGUCGACGACCGACGAAACUGAAUCGGUUGAUUCAGUCGCCGUCGACAGUGACUGAAACCCGAACUUGGCCGACAUUUUACUCUCGAUUCACUCGGUAAUUUUUGCUCGGAUUUGUCCCAAUGGAUAGAGCUACAUGAGUUAUACAAGUUUGCUUAAAGGAUCAAAGUCUGGUUUGGCCUAGAUUUCAAUCUACAAGGCUCCUAAAUACCCUAAGUGCAAACUGUGUCGAUUUUGACUUAGGCAAAAUUUGGCUAAGUGUGAAAACAGCACUGAUUUAUGCAUUGUGAGCUAAGUUUGAGUGUGUUCCAAGCAUUUUCAUGAAAAGGUACCAAAACAACUUUUGUAGCUUAUAAAAGUUACUACAACUUUGCUUUAGAUGUCAUUUACAUGCAAAGUCUCGAACACUGGAUUCGUAAAAGAUCUUUGAAAAGAGGUUUAGGGGGUCAACUAGGUCAACCUAGGGCUAACCAUGAAUUAGGGGCAUCUUUGGAUGAAACCUCCAACAUAAACCUUGUUCCUAAUGAUAUUCUAAACAUGAACAAAGUAUUAUGGAAGACAAUGUGUACUUAUAUACCUUGGUCACACAUUACUUACACACAUAGCAAGCCAUAUAAGUAAUUCAAUCACAUAGUGCACACACAACAUGACAUGUGAUCAUGGUAUGAUGCUUAUGAGUGAGUAUGAUGAUGCUUAUGUUGAUGCAAUGCUCAUGGUUAACAUGCAAGCUAACCCUAGGAGUGUUAUAGACAAGACGGAGCUGGCCUGUUCCUACAAGAAGAUCGGGAGGGCCAACACCGACCUAGUUGGUGAAAAUACGGCUCUUGAGGAGAAGAUCCGCGGUAAGUCUUCCAUGCCAUUGUGUUUUCUUCGUUGGAUCUCAUUUUCUUUUCCAUCAUCUAAUUCCCUGUCUCGAUCUCUAUAGGGCUUAAGGAUGAUCUGCUGGCCGCCUAGGUCGAUGCCCAGUCUUUUAAGGCACGGCUCGAGGGGAGGUCGCCUUGACUGGUCGACUGAGGACGGCGAUUAACGACCUCUCGACCUCCUGCGAAGCUGUUUGAGCCAGAGGUACUCCCUCCCAAAACCAGCACGGAAGACGGCGGAGAUGAAGACUAAAGGCCUGCGAGCCUAAUCUAGGUAUUUAGACCCAUUGUAAUAUAUUUAGCACUUGUCUCAGAUAAACAUUGUGGCCCAAGUGGCUCUAAGAUUCACGGUUUCUGUAUGUUCUUGUUACUUUUAUGCUCGAGUUUCCUUUAUUUCCUUGCUACCUAAGUUUGUGUUCCUCGAUCGAUCUUUCAUUAGAACGACUUCGAUUGCCUCGAGGGUAAGGGAGUGAGUAGAGUUACCAUAGCCCAGAGGCGUAGGGGUUCUCAGGCUCGACGUCCCUCGGCCCUUAAGGGGCUUGAGGUCCCUUUACUACUUGAUCGUGUGGGGUUUCCUUAGGCCUUUGAAAGGGAAAAGAUAACGUUGAGCUUUUGAAAAAUUGUUCGAUUUUUAGGAGCCUGUGGGGGGGUUCCCCCUGCUAGCCCCCAAGGGAGUGUCGACUAUGAUGGGUCAUAGUCGAGACUUCCUCCUAACAUUGAGAUUUAACUGGUAAUAACGUGCAUUACUUGAAAAAGUACUUUCAUUUAUUCACAUAUUCAUUCACAGGGCUUCGAUGGUAUAAGAUGCGCAUGAAAAUGUAAAGCCUCGAAGCUCUAGAUGUAGAAGCGACAUAGUUGUUCGAUGUUCCAUGCGUUGGUGAAGACCGCCCCUUUUUUGUCCGUGAGCUUGUACGUUCCUGGCUUCAAGACCUCAACCACCAUUUAUGGGCUCUCCCAAGGUGGAGUUAGCUUGUGGCAUCCUUGACUGCUUUGCCGUCGACGUAGGACGAGGUCGCCCACAUUCAGGUCUCUCUUGCGAAUGUGCUUGUCAUGGUAGCGUCGAAGCUUCUACUGGAACCUUGCUGAGUUGAGGAGGGCCAUGUCUCGAGCUUCCUCGAGCUGGUCGACCGCAUUCUCUCGAGUCUCCUUGUUUGUCUGCUCAUUGUAGGCUUUGAAUUGAGGUGACCCAUACUCGAGGUCUAUUGGAAGCACUGCCUCGGAGCUGUAGACCAUGAAGAACGGCGUAUAUUUCGUGGCUCUCCUUGGUGUUGUUCUUAAUCUCCACAUGACCGACGAGAGUUCCUCGACCCAUUUCUUGCCGAAUUUCUUCAACCAGUUGUAGAUUCUAGGUUUGAGCCCUUGCACAAUCAUGCCGUUGCCACGCUCGACCUGGCCGUUGGUUCAUGGGUGAGUUACCGCGGACUAGUUCACACAGAUGUGAUACCGGUCAAGAAGUCCAAGAACUUUUUGCCGGUGAACUGUGUACCAUUGUCGGUGAUGAUGACGUUGGGUAUCUCAAACUGGUGGAUUAUGUCGGUGAAGAAGAGGACAGCCUGCUCGGAGCGAAUGUUUGUGAUGGGUCGAGCCUCGAUCCACUUGGAGAACUUGUCGAUGGCCACCAGCAGAUGGGUGUACCCUCCUGCUGCCUUUUGGAGAGCGCCCACGAGGUCGAGGCCCCACACCGCAAAUGGCCAAGUGAUGGGGAUCAUCUGCAGUGCGUGAGCGGGGAGGUGGGUUUGCUUGGCGUAGAAUUGACACCCGUGGUAUGAACGAACAAGCUCGAUGGCAACAGCUACGGCCAUUGGCCAGUAGAAGCCUUGUCGGAAGGUGUUGGGCAUUUUCAACGUCAUUACCAAAAGUAGACUUAGUUUUCUAAUUCUGAUAACGGCGCCAAAAAUGCCGAACCUAUCCCUCAUGCCACUUAAGCCAAGUUGUCAUCCCCAGCAUGACAUGAGAGAUGCGGUAUUGAAAUAUGCAAUUGCUCUUCUGAAUGAAUAAUAAAUGAAAUCUGUAAGCGCACGGAUUAAUACCGAUGUAGCAUUUUAACCGUGAAGUAUUCCAGGUAUCGUUAUUUAUAUUUUUACCACUAGGAAGGGAUUGCUAAUCAUCAAUGUUGAUUAUGGAAUGAAAUAUAGAAUUGAGUAUCUAUCAUUGCAUGUGUAAUAGAGAGCAUUUAUCUAUCUCUUUCAUACAGGGAUAAAUGUCACAUAAAAUAUAGAUAAAGUAUGAAUGGUGACAAAGAUAAUUAAUCUGAUCAACAAAACUAGCCACAUAUAAUAAUGAUAAGCACCUCAAUAGAUAUUCUAGCAAGUCAUUAGCAUGGAAUUAGGAUGAACUACAAGAAUAUUUCCUAAGUUAUUCUUAACUAUAAAGUCUAGCAUAUCAUUGUUAGUGCAAUUAUACUUGGCAAUCAUUGCGAGACAGGACUACGCCCACGCAUAGUGAAAUUACCAAGGAAUAUGAGAAACAUAGCAAUCACUCCCCUGUAAUAAUGUUGCUCUGCCUACCCUAUACACGGGAGGGGGACUAUAUAAGAAUCAAUGGAGCUGUCACCACCACGAACUACCCCGCGAUCCGGCAUAUAGGGUACAAUCUCAGAUAAAUACGGUAUAGGCACCACGCCUACACAUUACUUAUCAUUUACCCACUGUACACAUGGAUAAACGCUAUAUGAUCCUAAACAUGUAUAUAAUUCCAAUCUAACUAAGCCAAGCAUAUAACUAUGAUAGACUAAGAAUGAUAUAAUUGCAAAUAUAAACAAGCAGAGCAAAGUCAUAAUCAAUAUAUUGAAAUAGAACAAAGUCAUAUUCAUAAUAUUGAAGAUCAAUGAUGAACAAAUGAAGAACAGUAGAGGAAUUACCAAGAAUCCUCUUGACAGAUCCAGAAACCAAUCGAAGAUUGACUCCUUCUAGUUCUAAUCCUAUGUAGCUAUGCUAAACUAGAGAUCUAGUUGAUGUGGUGGCUCUAGGGCUUGAUCAGAGACUUCUUCUCCCGAGAUGAAUGAAUGAAUUAGGGUUUUAGAGUCUUCCUCCAGGGGCCAGGGGGCCUGUUUAUAUAGUCCCUCCAAAUGAAUAUAGGCCGUCGGAUCAAACCGACCUUAAUCGCACGGUUUUCCUUAAUCCCUUAGGUCGGUGGAGCAUGAUCCGCGAGACGGAGCCUCAUUGGCCUAGGCAGCAGGGCAGGCGCCCAAGGGGGGAGGGCGGGCACCCUAUCCCCGGGCCCGCUCGGCCUCCCGCUCGUUCCCGUGGCUUCUGGACUCUUCUAGGUUAGGGAAAAUUGCGCGACACGUAAUUAUCUCUAUGUAAACCUCACGUUUGGGCCUUUCCUCCAUAUUUCCUGAAAACCCCCUGUAGAAAUAGACAAACACCAAAACUCAUGGAAUUCUGUCAGAUAAAACCCUAAGUCUGGGUGUCGGUUGCAUUUGGGUCCUUUUCUCUAUUUAUUUGUUGAUUAUAUUUGAUACUUAAGGACCGUCAACAGAAGGCGUUGCCGACGAGGAUUCUGGGAGCCACAUGGUGGCCACAAGGCCCCGAGUGUAGAUCUUCGAGGAGCUUUCGACCUUCCUCUAUGGUGAUGCAGCAUUGCAUGACCCCGGUCGGACUUUGUCAGUAUAGCUCUUUGCUUUCGCCAUAGAUUACAUAUGAUUUGGCCCGUCGAGCGAUACGACGGGCCUCAGCUCAGUCUUCUGGUAAUUCGCCUCGGAUCAGGCAGAUGAGGAAAGGCGUGCACCAGUCAAAUGGUCGACCGGGGCGUCGAGGAGUUUGCUCGAUCUCCAUUACCUAUGCCGCCGUUAGUAGGGCCUCGAUUGUGUCAAUGGGCUUGGGGGUGGAGGUCUCGACGCUAGCCCCCAUGCCCAGGUUCGAGCAGGUCCCUUGAGAACGCGUCUGGUGGGACAGUGCCUCGAGUGGACGCAAUUUUGGCAAGCUCGUCGGCCGUUUCAUUGUAUCGCUGUGCGAUGUGAAUGAGCUCGAGACCAUGGAACUUGUCCUCAAGCUUGCGUACUUCCUUCCACUAAGCCUCCAUCUUUGGGUCAUGGCAGCUCAAGGCUUUCAUGUCUUGAUAGAUGACCAGCCAAGAAUCACCUCGAAUGUCGAGGCGUCGGACCCCAAGCUCGAUGGCAAUCCUUAGCCCAUUGACGAGGGCCUCGUAUUCUACAACGUUGUUAGACGCGACAAAAUGUAUUCGGAUGACAUACCUCAUGUGGACGCCGAGAGGUGAGAUGAAUAGUAGGCCUGCCCCAGCUCCUGUCUUCAUGAGUGACCCAUCGAAGUACAUCGUCUAGAGUUACACUUGGACCUGAGCCAGGGGGGAGCUGGGUGUCUGUCCAUUCCACGAUGAAAUCCACCAGUGCUUGAGACUUGAUGGCUUUGCGAGGCGCAUAGGUGAGGGUCUCCCCCAUGAGCUCGACCGACCACAUGGCGAUCCUCUCAGUGGCCUCUCGAUUCUUGAUGAUCUCACCCAGCAGGAAGGACGAGACCACCGUGAUCGCAUGGCCGAGAAAGUAGUGUUGUAGCUUGCGUCGGGCGAGAAUCAUAGCAUAAAUCAAUUUUUGAAUCUGGGGGUAUCAUACCUUUGUCUCCAAGAGCACCUCACUAAUGAAGUAGACCGGCCGCUGAACUGGUAGCGCGUGCCCUUCCUCUGGCCUUUCGACCACCACGGCCACGAUAACGACCUGGGUCGUUGUCGUGACGUACAGGAGCAGAGGCUCCGCGGGUCGAGGAGGCACCAGGAUCGAAGCAGUGGUCAGCAUUCUUUUUAGUUUGUCGAGGGCUUCCUCAGCCUCGAUAGUCCAGGUGUAGCGCUCAGCUUUCUUCAAGAGCCGGUAUAACGACAACGCUUUUCCCCCCAGCCUCAAAAUGAAACGGCUUAGUGCCGCCAGACAGCCCGUAACUUUUUGUACGCCCUUGACGUCUCGAAUCGGCCCCAUCUUGGUGAUGGUCGAGACUUUCUCGGGGUUGGCCUCGAUGCCACGUUGGGAGACUAUGUAUCCUAAAAGCAUGCCUCGAGGCACGCCAAAGACACAUUUCUCAGGGUUGAGCUUGAUUUUGUUCGUGCAUAGACAGCCAAUGGCGAUCUCGAGGUCCUGAAUCAGGUCGCCUUGUUUCUUUGACUUGACGACAAUGUCGUCAACGUAUGCCUCGACUGUCGAUCCUAUGUGUUCCCCAAAAACAUGGAGCAUGCAGCGUUGGUAUGUCGCCCCAGUGUUUCGAAUCCCAAAGGGCAUAGUUACGUAACAAUACAUCCCAAAAGGCGUGAUGAAAGAGGACGCAAGCUGGUCGGAUUCUUUCAUUUUUAUUUGAUGGUAACCGGAAUAAGCAUCAAGGAAUGAAAGGGUCUGACAUCCCGUGGUAGAAUCAACAAUUUGGUCAAUGCGUUGCAAAGAAAAGGGAACUUUCAGACAUGCUUUAUUUAAACUGGUGUAAUCAACACACAUCCUUAUUUUCCCAUGCUUUUUCUUAACUAAUACAGGGUUUGCUAACCAGUCGGGAUGAUGAACCUCCUUGAUGAAUCCGGCCGUCAAAAGCUUGUGGACCUCCUCGCCAAUGAUCUUGUUCUUCUCCUCGUCGAAGCGGCGCAAGCGUUGCUUCACUAGCUUGGAACCAGCUCGAAUCACCAAGGAGUGCUCGGCAACUUCCCUCGGUAUGCCAGGCAUGUGCCAGGGACUCCAUGCAAACAUGUUGGCAUUUGCACGGAGGAAGUCGACGAGCACAGCCUCCUAUUUGGGGUCGAGGUUGGCGCUGAUCAUCAGCACCUUGUCGUCAGAGCUGUUGGGGUUGAGCGGGAUUUUCUUCAUGCCUUCUGCUGGCUCAAAGCUGCUCACAUGGCGCUUAGGCUCUGGAGCCUUAGCGGUGAGGGCCUCGAUCCUCAAGGCGAGCUCGGUGGAGUUUUCGACCGCUUCCCCGUACUCGACGCACUCGACGUCGCAUUCGUAAGCGUGCUUGUCAGAAGAACUGAUGGUGAUGACUCCCUUGGGCCCGAGCAUCUUCAGCUUAAGGUAGGUGUAGUUGGGGACCGCCAUGAACUUGGCAUAUCCUGGAUGCCCGAUGAUGGCGUGAUAGGUGCCUCGAAAGCCCACCACCUCGAAAGUGAGGGUUUCCUUCCUGAAGUUGGUCGUCGUGCCAAAACAGACUGGCAGUUCAAUUCCACCCACCAGCAGCGCCUUUUUCCCUGGCACGACGCCAUGGAAACCGUCAGUGGUGGGUUGGAGCUGUGCUCUCUCGAUGCCUAGGAGGUCGAGGGUCUUGAGGUAGAUGAUGUUGAGGCUGCUGCCGCUGUCCAUCAACACCUUCGAGAGCCAGGUGUUGACGAUGAUAGGGUCGACAACGAGUGGGUAGACACCAGGGGCCCUGUCGGGGUGGUCGUCGCGAUUGAAGGUGAUGGGGGUGCUCGACUAGUUGAGGUACUAUGGCACUACCAUCCUCGUCGUGAAAACCUCCCGACGCUCCCUCUUGCGCUGUCUCGUGGUGAGCUGCGACGAGGGUCCACCGUAGAUCAUGUAACAGUCGUGGACGGCGGGGAACACCUCAUCGUCUUUAUUUCCGCCCUUGUCAUCGCUUUUAUCCUUCCUUUGGUCGUCCUUCUUCAGUCCCAGACUGUUGAAGUACUUCUUCAGCAUGCGGCAGUCCUCGAGCUUGUGAUUAGCCCCUCCCUUGUGGUAAGGGCAGGGCUCUUUGAGCAUCUUGUCGAAGAUGGCCCCCUCUGGGGGCCCUCAAGGCUUCUUGCGCUCGACAGCGAUGAUGAAAUCAUUGUCGAGGGCCUCCCGCUUGAUUUGUUGUGUCUUCUUCUUGUUGUUGUUCUUUUUGGGCCUCCUGCUAGGGCCCUCGUCGUCAUCUGCUGGUGCCUUCCCCUUGUCAUUCUUGUGGCUGAAGAAAGCACCAACUGCCUCCUCGCCGGUGGCGUAGUUCGCCACCACGUCCAUCAGCUCGUUGACGGUCUGCGGACGAUUUUAGCCUAACUCUCGCACCAAAUCGUUACAAGUGGUGCCCAAGACGAAAGCCAGAAUGACGUCGUGGUCGGGGAUGUGUGGGAGCUCAGUGCGUUGCUUGGAGAAGCGUCGAGCGUACUCUCGGAGAGAUUCUCUAGAUUUCAGCUUGCACUUGCUGAGGUCCCACGAAUUACCAGGGCGUAUGUAAGUCCCCUUGAAAUUUCCUUCAAACACCGGGACCAGGUCGGUCUAGUUGUGGAUUUGGUUGGCGGGGAGCUCCUCAAGCCACCUUCGAGCGGUGUCGGAGAGGAAGAGUGGGAGCUACCAGAUGAUGGCUCGAUCGUCCCCUCGAGUGCCUCCUAGCUGGCAUGCCAGCCGGAAGUUUGCCAGCCACAGUUCUGGCUUGGUUUCGCCGUUAUGCUUGGCGAUGCUGGUCGGAGGUCAGAAUGGGCUUGGCAGUGGCGUGCUGUGGAUUGCCCUACUGAAGACUCGAGGGCCCAACAGCUCUGGUGCCAUUCGGUCCUUGUCACUGUCGUAACGUCCGCCACGGUGGUGUUCGGUAUUUUAAACGCAAACAGAAAAAUCCGCAAGCGCACGGAUACCGAUGUAGCCUUCACCCGGGAGUAUUCCAGAGUAUCGAUUUUCCACAGAGAACGUGAGUGUACUAAUUAAGAUCAAAGAUCGCCCAAGGAUAACUAUAUGGUUAUUUUUGGUGGGAAGAGAGGAAGUUUCCUGAGAGUUCUCUAGUUGAUCUAAGAAUCAAGAAUUACUUCAAGAUUAUCUAUAUCGGGACAUCAGAGCACUAACCACAGAAAGAGAUGAGAAGGGGGCUAGGAAGGUCUGACUACGGUCCUACAAACACCGAUCCGAACGUGGUGGAAUACGUCGACCGUUAGGGCUGUCACUACCCUAAGGCUACCACAACAAUCCGCAGGAUUGGGUGCAAUUCCAGGUAAUCGCAAGACUAAACACCACGUCUAAUCUAUUAAUUACUACUCUAGCGUUAUAAAGACUAGAGCACUUGAUGCAAGCGGGAAUCCAAUAAAUAACUUGAAUGUAAAUAAAAGUAAUUAAAGAACUCAGGAAUUAUGAAUUGAAGAACCUGGAGAACGAUGAAGAACGAACCAGAUGCUGCAAAAGUAUAAUGUUGAGGAAGAUCCGACAGAUCUGGCUCCUCCUCCGCUCUCCUCUUCUCUCUCCUUAUUUUCUAGAUUACAACUAGAACUAACUAGAACUAGAACUAGAUGAACUAGAACUAGAACUAGAUGAACUAGAACUAGAUCUAGAUGAACUAGAGGUAGAACUAGAAGAACUAGAGGGAUCCUCUCUACUUGGAUGAAGAAUUGAAACCCUAACUUUGAUUCUGUAGAAGAGGUAUGAUCUCCAGGGGCCAGGGGGUCUGGUUUUAUAGUCCCUUCAAGUGAAUCUGGGCCGUCGGAUCAAACCGACAUUGAUCGUGUGGUUUUCCUUGAAGUAUUAGGUCGGUGGAGCAUGAUCCCCGAACUUCGCCCUGAUUGGUCCAGGGGGGAGGGCGGGCGCCCUCAGGACUAGGGCGGGCGCCCUGUCCCUGAGGCCUCUCGGCUUCCGCUUCGGUCCCGUGGCUUCUGGAGUUUUCUAGAUGAUAGAAAAUUGCGCGGCACGUUAAUAUCUCUAUGUAAACCCGACGUGUGGGCCUUUCCUCCAUAUUUCCUGAUAACCCCCUGCAGAAAUAGACAAACACCAAAACUCGUGGAAUUCUGUCAGAUAAAACCCUAAGUCUAGGUGUUGGUUGCAUUUGGAUCCUUUUCUAUGAUUAAUUGAUGGUUAAAUAUGAGCAUUAAGGACCGUCAACAAGCUCCCCCAAGCUUAACCUUUGCUCGUCCCUGAGCAAAGAUGAACUCAACAGUUUCUGCAGUGGUUUCAUAACUUAAAGAUACACAUGCGUUUAAACAAGAUCUCAUCUCUAGUUAGAGUAAACUGUUAAGACUUAAAACUUACUCAUUUACCUUUCACCAUGGGACUUGUAACCGUCACUUCUGUCUUGAGUAGUUAAAAGAUAGAACAGUCUACUCAAGCACCAUGUCUCUUGUUCUUCGAUUAACUGUAGCUCUGGAGUUUUUGCAGAUUUUCAAAUAAAACUCAAAGAUUCCUUGUAUGACUCUCUCUAGUCUCUCUUUUGUGGUAUUUCUGGAUCCUUACCAAAGCAGUAAAGGUGUAUGCCUUCUCUCUCACCCUACUCUAAUAAGGCUUUUGAUAUCUGGAGCUCAUAGGUGGGAGACAGCUAAUACAUACUUACAAGACAUUUAUUGCAUAGUCAAACCAUGGAUCCAGAAGAACAAGUCAAUAAGUCAAAUCAAGAUGUGCAUGUGUGGUGAAUGAAUGGUGUAUGGUGAUGAUGGUGAUAAUGGUGAAAGUCUAAUUCUACUUUUGCUCUUUUGAGGGGAUACAUACCUUUCUUGCACUUUUGAAACUUUUUGAGGAGAAUGAGAUGCUCUAUGUUUUCUUUUUCUUUUCUCUCAGGUGGGUAUCUUGUACCCCUAAUUCUACUGUCGGACACUUGUCCAUUUUUACCUCUCGUCUCACUUUUUCUUUUCUUUCGAGGUUCCGGGCACUUGCCCCUUUUUAUUUCCUCGCAUUCUUUAUUUUUUUUCUUUCUUCUUUUUUUUAGAGCACUCAUCUCCUGAAAUAAUAUAGUAAGUGGUAGUAACCAAGAUAACUUGAGCAUUUUUUUUCACAGGGAAAAACAGAAAUAGGAGAAUGUUUUUGGCUAUUCUCUCCCGGAUUAGGAGUAGAAUAUUUUUAGGUGAAUCUGGAGAUGGAAAUGGUUGGAUAUAUGUGGAUGCGUACUUCCAGAGUAGAAGCAGCAUGUAUGAGUGAACGUGCAAGUGAAUCUUGAUUUAACCACAUGACAAGCUCCUAAGAGUCUACACAGCUUGACCACACUCAAUGCUCAUAAGCAGUAAAAAGUAAAUGUGUGGUUCAUAGUCUCGUAAGCAUGUAUAUAUGGCUGUGGUAGGAAAUUAAACUCUCAUCAUACAGGAACUCAUCAUGCAACAUUUUAAAGAUUUUCAAAAAUAAAAUUCUCCAGAAUUCUAGCAUCUCUAGGAACAGAUAAACAGCAGCUCAACCUUCCCAUAUCAUAUCCGUUAACGACUUAGACUUUAGAUCAAGUACUCUUCCCACAAGUUCAGGUUUAGAGCAAAUCUUAAUUAAUAACAGUCAUGCCUAAACUUGAGAGAGAUUUCAAUUUUUAGAACUAGUCAUGGCAGAGCAACUAUUCAUCAUUUCCAUGUGAGAGCUUAUCAUGAGGGUUCAUAGCAAACUUUAUUUAUUUAUUUAUUUAGCAAACUAAGCAAAGAUAUAUAAGCAUAAAAUCUUUAUUUGGGUUUAUAUGAUUAUGCAUCUUUUUAUUAUUAGAGUAAAGUAUAAACAUGAGUAGAAUACUUAGCUGGAUAAAUGGGGGUGCUCUCCCCCAAGCUGGAUUUUGACAUAAUUCCUUUUGAUGUAGCUAGCAAGUGGUGGAGGUGUAUUUGAAUGUCGGCAGCACCCUGACAGCGAUUAGGAUGUCCUCCGUCUGCUAGUCUUCUUUGAUCCUUGAAUUCUGUGGAGCUCAAAUAGACAACAAAGCUUUGUGGAACUAGUUAAGUGUUAGCAUAAAUAUCUAGCCUUUAUCAUGUUGAGCCUCCUCAAUAAAUGUUACUCUCUUUGGUAGGAUCAUAAAUCUAUUUUUAUAAUUUUAUUUUUAUAGGACAGGAAUAUAUUUAUUUUAUUUUUAUGCCACCACAGUGAAUGUACUUAUGGGUUUUAUGCCAUAAGCAUACUCACAUGGGGCUUACUUAACAUUUUUAUUUUCUUUUCAAGAUGAUAUGAACCUGAUUAACUAAGCAAACUAUUUUAAAAUAAUUGAAAGGAAAAAGAUAACUACCAAGUUUACCUCUUGGUAAGGCGUUCGGUGCUUUUAAGUCCUCCGAACGGGACUCUCCGUUUUCUCAGUCGUCCUGGGAUUCGCUGGGUGGCGUAAUCGGUGGUUCUGGCGGAGCCUGCUCUUCAUGUAUAACUAUCUUCUCUCUCCACACCUGACACGGUGCUACGGUCUCCUCAGGACAGUUCUGUUCAAGUUGUAUGUCUUCAGACCUUACAACUUCUCCUUCAUAGUCUACCCAUCCGUCCUUGAUGAUUUGCCUUCUCUGAUUGCGGUUGCGUUGUCUUCUUCUUGUCCUGACCUGCUUAGAGUCUUCAACUAUAUGGUUAGGGUCAGUAAAAUAGCGGCGUACCUUCUCAGAGGGGAAUUGCAUGUGGACUUCUCCGGUUCCAAUGUAUAUGAUUGCUUUAACGGUGUUGAGGAACGGUCUUCCAAGGAUGACGGGUGGAUUGUACUCAUCUUCUCCCAUGACAAUAACCUUUAAAUCAUCUGGAGCUGAAUGUAUUUUGGUUGUAGAUGCAUGAUUCCAUGCAGGAGCUGGUUCAUCCUUUUUGGUCAGGAAUGGUGACUUAAGUCGAUGAUCUUGACCUCCUUGAACUGCAGUGACCAUCUUAGCUGACUCGGUCCACAUUUGCUUGUUCUUGUUCCUCCUGUUGGUCCUUUCCUUGUUUCAUGUUAGGAUUGCUCUAAGAUUUGUGUAGUCUUGUUCUUGAAGGAAAACGUCUCCUUCCUCCCCUUGAUGUAGAAACUGAUCUUGGCAGUACUAGCGUAGAUGACAGCUCAUGAGGUGUUCAGGAAUGGCCUCCCUAGGAUGGGUGCCCUCUCAUCAGUACCAGUCUCUGUCACCAUGAAGUCUGCUGGAGCCGUACAAGGUACCAACUCGGACGUGGAGGUUCUUCAAUAUUCCCUUUGGGAAACUUAGUGUCUGAUCUGCAGGCUUGGGCAUAAUGUUGACGCUGGAGCCAAAGUCGCAGAGUGCUUCUAGGAAGUCCACCAUGCCGAUGGAGAUCGGGAUGACGGGGCGUCCUGGGUUGUCUCUCUUGACCGGCAGAAGG
rnacentral:lncRNA from 1 species